rnacentral:rRNA from 1 species
GAGACACGGCCCCGACUCCUACGGGAGGCAGCAGUGGGGAAUAUUGCACAAUGGGCGAAAGCCUGAUGCAGCGACGCCGCGUGAGGGAUGACGGCCUUCGGGUUGUAAACCUCUUUCAGCAGGGAAGAAGCGAAAGUGACGGUACCUGCAGAAGAAGCCCCGGCUAACUACGUGCCAGCAGCCGCGGUAAUACGUAGGGCGCGAGCGUUGUCCGGAAUUAUUGGGCGUAAAGAGCUCGUAGGCGGCUUGUCGCGUCGGUUGUGAAAGCCCGGGGCUUAACCCCGGGUCUGCAGUCGAUACGGGCAGGCUAGAGUUCGGUAGGGGAGAUCGGAAUUCCUGGUGUAGCGGUGAAAUGCGCAGAUAUCAGGAGGAACACCGGUGGCGAAGGCGGAUCUCUGGGCCGAUACUGAUGCUGAGGAGCGAAAGCGUGGGGAGCGAACAGGAUUAGAUACCCUGGUAGUCCACGCCGUAAACGGUGGGCACUAGGUGUGGGCGACAUUCCACGUCGUCCGUGCCGCAGCUAACGCAUUAAGUGCCCCGCCUGGGGAGUACGGCCGCAAGGCUAAAACUCAAAGGAAUUGACGGGGGCCCGCACAAGCGGCGGAGCACGUGGCUUAAUUCGACGCAACGCGAAGAACCUUACCAAGGCUUGACAUACACCGGAAAGCAUUAGAGAUAGUGCCCCCCUUGUGGUCGGUGUACAGGUGGUGCAUGGCUGUCGUCA